rnacentral:rRNA from 1 species
GACGAACGCUGGCGGCGUGCCUAAUACAUGCAAGUAGGACGCAGUUGCGAACGGGUGAGUAACGCGUAGGUAACUACCUAUUAGAGGGGGAUAACUAUUGGAAACGAUAGCUAAUACCGCAUACUAGUAGAUGGAUCUGCGUUGUAUUAGCUAGUAGGUAGGGUAAUGGCCUACCUAGGCAACGAUACAUAGCCGACCUGGAAGGGUGGUCGGCCCCACUGGGACUGGGACACGGCCCAAGAUCCUGCAGGGGGGAGGAGUAGGGAAACUUCGGAAAUGGGGGGAAACCUGACCGAGCAAAGCCGCGGGAGUGAAGAAGGUUUUCGGAUCGUAAAGCUCUGUUGUUAGGGAAGCGGUACUUGACCAGGAAGGGACGGCUAACUACGUGCCAGCCGCCGCGGUAAUAC